UUAUUUUCCUUGCGAUCACUCAUCCGUCACCAUCUCCGACUAUCUCUCUCUCUCUCUAAUCUUCAUCUUCCUUUACCAAUCUUCAAGUUAUCCACUUCUACAUGGUAUCAGAGUCAUCAAUGGUUUCAACCAAAGAAACUUCCAUCACCACAUGAACAUUCGCUCGAUGUCCCUUCCGAGCUUGAUAUCUCCAAAACCCAUGGGUUACCAAUGUCUUACAACAUCAACAGUGUGUUUCGCACACCAAUGGAAAAGUUGGAUUAUACCAACUGGAAGUCGCAGUUCGAAUCCGUCCUGAAGCUUCACGAGUUGUCACAUAUUAUAGUCGACUCUCCACAGGAGGAGAAACUUGGAGAUGGGUCUGAGAACCCGAAGUUCGCAAAAUGGCGA
rnacentral:lncRNA from 1 species